UAGUUAGAUCUAGUUAGUAGAUCUACUAAUCAUCUAGAUCUAGAUCUAGUUAGUUAGUACAUCUAGAUCUAGUUAGUUAGUACAUCUAGUUAGUUAGUACAUCCAGAUCUAGUUAGUUAGUAGAUCUAGUUAGUUAGUAAUUAGUAGAUCUAGUUAGUUAGUAGAUCUAGUUAGUUAGUAGAUCUAGUUAGUUAAGUUAGUUAGUAGAUCUAGUUAGUUAGUAGAUGAUACUAGAUCUAGAUGUAGUUAGUUAGUAGAUCUAGUUAGUUAGUAGAUCUAGUUAGUUAGUAGUUCUAGAUCUAGUUAGUUAAGUUAGUUAGUAGAUCUAGUUAGUUAGUAGAUGAUACUAGAUGUAGUAAAAUGUAGUUAGUUAGUAGAUCUAGAUCUAGUUGGUGUUAGAUAGAUCUAGAACCUAGUAAUAGCUGGUAAGAUCCUUGUGGAAGUCAACCCUUUAGAUUUUGAUGUAUCUGUCUAGGCAAAUUGCCUGGUCUUAUAGAGUCUUUAUAACACUGGACUUCUGGAUGGUCUCGGAUUCCUAUUUUAAGUACUUCUUAUGGUGAACAGUGGUUCAGGCAAGACCCAAGUAUAUGGUCUAUAAUACUUGCUAAUUAUAUUGCAAGGGACACAAUAAGACUAGAUGUAACAUUUGAUGUGGGACACUCACAUGCCAGAUUUGUAGGCAACUUGGUGCUGAAUCUCAGAGAUUGUGGAGGGGUAGAUCGUGAUGGUCAAUUUUCUAAGGUUUCCACUGGACCAACUACAGCUCACUCAGCCCCUGUCACUCCCACCCACAACCCUAAUGAUAGCUUGGAUAUUGGCCGUAGAACAGGAUCAUAGUGAGGUUUCUUACAGGGCUUAUUAGGCUGUCUCAGACCCAUAUGGACAAUGCUUAGCAAGGCAGCUGCUGCAGAGUUAUAACAGCAAGGUGGCGAUUUUAUUGUUUACCAUGGAGUUGUCUACUUUUCAAAUUUUACUGACCAAGUUUUGUACAGUGACUGAUCCAUCAGCAGUUUCCGAAGCAGUAACUGAUAUCUCAAAAAAAUAUUGCUUUAUUGAUGGUGUCUGGUCACCUCAGAGGAUCAACAGGAUUUGUUCAUUGAAAGGUGUAGGCAGUUAAAGCAAAAGGACUGCAAUGUUUGUUUCAAGGACCAGACACAACAGAAUUUGACAACAUAUGUAUCGGAAGCUCAAAAUCAGAAACUGAAAUCUGCCCAUGUGGAGUGUCACCAGAGAAUGUUGACCAUCUUCUCCAAAACUGCUCUCUUUACCAAGAGGCUGUACAUGACACUGGCCCCAAAACACCCCAAUAGAAAGAAAACUAUAUGGAGAGUUCCCUGAUUUGGAAACCACUGUGAAAAUAAUCUCAUAUACUGGUCCAGUCAUCUGAAUGCUCCAAUAAAAAAAUGAGAAGGAAGAAGAAAGAAGAUUGGGAGCAACAUGGCUAUUGAAAAGCAGAGACCAUACAAACCUCAUUAGAUGAAGAGUUUUAUUUUGUUGGUAAAGUCCUUGGUUUUGAGCCAGCAGAGAAACAUAGAAAGCUCUAUUUUGACAAUAUAUAAAGAGUGACUUUAGCUCAACUCCUCACCAAGCUUUACAGUCUGUGACAUUUUUUUGGUACCCAUUAGAGCUGGGUGGACUCAAAGGCACCAUAAAGAUCCCAAAAUUAAAAUACCCAUCUUCACUAGGAUUUGAACCCAGGGUCCUUCUGUUUGGAAGUCAAGUGCUUUACCACUCAUCCACAUGCCUCUGUUAAAGGCUAGAUUUUGUGACAAUUAUUUUUAGGAGAGAGAAAGAUGUAUGCACAAAGUUGUAGCUUUUUUUAAAUUUUUAUUAAAUUUAUUUGUAUUUAACCACUGACUUAUUAAUCUCUGAAUUGUCAAAUUUAAGUUUGUAAUCAGUUAGUGUUGACCUUGGCUUGAUAGGCUAAAAGGAUUAACAAUAAUAAUAAUAAUAAUUAUAGCUUGUAUGUAGUGCUACUUUCAUGCUUACAGCAUGCUCAGAGUGCUGUGUUCCAAUCUUAUGUGUGGACCAGUAGGGGGGGGGGGGGAUUUGGGAGAGGGUUUUCCGUGCUGCCUUCGGGUACUCAGUAAACAGAACUCUGCUUGAGUCGUGUGUUGAACCUAGAGUCACCUUGAUAGGUAGCCAAGCCAAGCCAAGUUCAAGCAUACUUAGCCUCUUGACCACGCCUCCACAUUGAAAUUAAAUUGUAAAUGUUAAAUAUUUUUAAAAAUUUAAUACAGAAUUUGAUAUUUAUGAAAUAUUUAAUACAGAAUUUGAUAUUGAUGAAAAAUUUAAUACAGAAUUUGAUAUUGAUUACAAAAAAUAAUACAGAAUUUGAUAUUGAUACCAUUUCUUUCAUUUGUGUGUGUGUGUGUUUCCAAUAAUAUUUCUAUGAAUGUACAAUUUAUUCUCUAGAUAAAGAUUCAUUUUCUGUUUUGUAAGGCAGCUCUCAAUCCUCAGUGUUAUGAGCAUAAUGAUAACAGAGUCGAAAACCAUGUCAUCUUAGUAUGGCUUUAAUACACUG